rnacentral:lncRNA from 1 species
GAAGUUUUGAUCAGAACAUCCCAGGAGUAUCUUUCAUCUCAUAGAUAUAAUGUGCGGGCUUUGAAACAACUUAUGAAGUGAAUCCCAUAUUCGAUAUUCAUUCAACAGAGUCUUUGCUGAUUGUACUACAUUGGUAUUUUAGAAAGAAUCAGGCAAAGGAUGAUCUGACAGUCAAAGACUAUUUAUACCAAUAUUAAAUCUCAACUUUGCUUUCGUUUUAAUUUAGUACAUAAAGAACUACUUAGUACUUUGUUGCCUACCCUUAAUAUAGUUUCUUUUGUGGAGGCAAUAGUUUAUUGUGUGAUCAAUAGUAUAGAGCAAACAACAUUUGCUGAGAUCACUAACCAAUAUUGAUAUAGAUCAGUGGGAUAUUAUUGUUAUAGUUACAAAUCAUAUCUAUGUUAUUUGUUACACCCCAACCAAAGUGACACUUUACAAAGUAUUUAAAUAAAUUCUAGAAACUAACUUUGUUUACACACAACCGCGAGGUUAAAAACAGGGAUUUGGGGGUUUAUGGCAAAUAUGACAUUUCGUUUUGCUUUUUGCUUUGUUUUAUUUUUGUUUUGUUUUUUCGAUAUAAAUUUCGGGCUUUGAAAGAAUAUUUUGUCCUCCACUUGCUCUGUUUUAAAACACUGACUUCCUUACAUACGAGGUUAUUUUUGUGAACAGACGUGUUAUACCUACACAGUAUAUUAUGGUAUUUUACUUCAUUCAACAAGGGAAGAGGAAAAACUGAAUAGUGUGAAAUGUUUUGAAUUGAUAAAGAAAAAACCAAAAAUAUGGGUGUGAGACAUUUUGCCACAGCUGCUUUGACACUAUAUAUUUGGCGUCGCAGACUCGACACCGACGCAUUGGACAUCAGAUGUUUAAAUGUUUUGCUUUCUAUCUAUCUCUCGCUCUCACUUUCACUCUCCCCUUCUCUCUUAUCUUCCUUUCUCCCUCAUCUCCCUUUCUCUCUCUCUUAUCUCCGUCUCUCUUUUCUCUCUUUCUCUCUCUCUCGCUUUCAUCUCUUUAUUUACGUGUGUGAGCAUAUUUCACUCUGUGUAUAAGGAGAGGGAAAGUUUUUAUAUCAACCGUAUUCAGUUAAUAAAUUACAUUCCCUCUUCGCCUCUGUUUCCCUCCCUUCUCUCUCCCACCUCUCUCCUUCUUUCUCUUACGCUUUGUUAGCGUUCAUUUCUACUCUCUCACGCGCAUGUGUGAGCCUCCAGCGCCAAAAAGUACCGUCACCCGAACAGGCCCUACCAUGCUCCCAAACGUCUCACUACGACCAAAUACCGCAAAGAACCGACCUCACAUUCAAACGAAGACCAGGUUAAAGCUACCAAUUAGCAAAAAGGAGUUCUCGUUAAAGCAAUCGACUUAAUCAACUCCUUGUACAAUUGAACAAGACUCUAAGGACCCUCUAUGUGGCGACCUACUUACAGGAAAUACCAUCCAGAUCCCUCACAGAUUACAAUCGAUAGCCUUGAAAAUAUUCUCCGAGAAUAGCGAUGUCUAAGCCACAGUAAGCUUGACAAAACGAUUGGAAAAUCGACGCAGAGUGGUUCGUUUUAUAUCUAUUUGAUUACCACAGUCGACUGAAGCCUGGAUGAUUAGAACCGGGACAAAUUAACAAUUGAAUAGUUUGUAUGUCGUGAUAUUUCUGUUCAUGGUAUUGUAUUGAUGUGAAUGCCUUUUAUCGGGGGAUUAGUGACCAGAACAAAAUUAAUUGGUUGAAGAUACUAGCAUUAAAGCCAACACUCCGAACAGGUUCACUAAACUAAAUGCUGCUCUACACCGCACUACAACAAUCGACUUCAAUAAUUCAAUAACUUCAUUCUGUAAGCAUGGCUACUCUUCCGGUUCAGCUAUUGCGAUCAAUUUGUUAGAAAUGCACCUUGUUACCCGGUUUAGGUCUGUUUUGCAUAUUUCUGAAUACAAUUAACAGCGAGCUUAUUAUUAAGUUAUUUGGCAGUAAAUUAAUAAAACAGCUAGUGUUAUAGCUCAUUAAUAAAAUGAGAUGUAGACUUCACAUACAAUGGUUAUAACAUGCAAGAAAAUAUAGCUUUGUGUGUGAGGUGUCCAUGGAUGUGUUGGCGUAAACACACACACACACGCACAUAUACUCACAUAUACAGACACACGUACAUCCAUACAAGCAUACAUAUGUGUAUGCAUGUGUGUGUGUGUGUGGUGUAAUAUCGUGCAAAGAUUACUCUGUGUCGCUAAGCUAAUCCGACUUAUGGGGGAUUCCUGGUUCAUCACGCAACCUCGGCUCAGUAUUACAAAGUUCAAUACAUAUGUGUGACAGAUAUUCUGUAUAUGGGUGUGGUGAUUGGCAGGAUAAGAUGGACAAUGUUCAUGAUGAAUUCUUAAGAAAAAUGACGAUAAUUAAUAUUCGUCUAUUCCUGGCAAUAAAAGAUAAGAAAGAAAAAUAUUAAAAAAAAGAAAAAGAAAAUGAAAAUUAUCACAAAAAU